AUCAACUUUCGAUGGUAGGAUAGAGGCCUACCAUGGUGGUAACGGGUAACGGGGUGUUAGGGCACGACACCGGAGAGGGAGCCUGAGAAACGGCUACCACAUCCAAGGAUGGCAGCAGGCGCGCAAAUUACCCAAUCCCGACACGGGGAGGUAGUGACAAUAAAUAACAAUACGGGGUCCUUUGGGUCUCGUAAUUGGAAUGAGUACAAUUUAAAUCUCUUAACGAGGAACAAUUGGAGGGCAAGUCUGGUGCCAGCAGCCGCGGUAAUUCCAGCUCCAAUAGCGUAUAUUAAAGUUGUUGCAGUUAAAAAGCUCGUAGUUGAAUUUCGGGGUCGGUAGGUUGGUCAUGCCAUCGGUAUGCACUGGUCUCACCGAUUCCUCCCUCUUGUAGAAGCGUAAUGCCAUUAAUUUGGUGUUGCGGGGAAACAGGACUGUUACUUUGAAAAAAUUAGAGUGUUUAAAGCAGGCUAACGCCUGAAUACAUUAGCAUGGAAUAAUGAAAUAGGACGUCGAUCCUAUUUUGUUGGUUUCUAGGGUUGACGUAAUGAUUAAUAGGGAUAGUUGGGGGCAUUAGUAUUCAAUUGUCAGAGGUGAAAUUCUUGGAUUUAUUGAAGACUAACUACCGCGAAAGCAUUUGCCAAGGAUGUUUUCAUUAAUCAAGAACGAAAGUUAGGGGAUCGAAGACGAUCAGAUACCGUCGUAGUCUUAACCAUAAACUAUGCCGACUAGGGAUCGGAUGAUGUUAAUUUUUUAAUGACUCAUUCGGCGCCUUACGGGAAACCAAAGUGUUUGGGUUC
rnacentral:rRNA from 1 species